AGGAUUUUAGUUAAAUACAAAAAUAACAUUUAAAUUGCAUUUAAAAAUUAUAAUUAUUAAAAAUAUAUAAAUCUUA
rnacentral:tRNA from 1 species